AUUGAACGCUGGCGGCAGGCUUAACACAUGCAAGUCGAUCGAGCGGCGGACGGGUGAGUAAUGUCUGGGAAACUGCCUGAUGGCGGGGGAUAACUACUGGAAACGGUAGCUAAUACCGCAUACCAUCGGAUGAGCCAAAAUGGGAUUCGCUAGUAGGUGGGGUAAUGGCUCACCUAGGCGACGAUCCCUAGCUGGUCUGAGAGGAUGACCAGCCACACUGGAACGGAGACACGGUCCAGACUCCUACGGGAGGCAGCAGUGGGGAAUAUUGCACAAUGGGGGCAAGCCUGAUGCAGCCAGGCCGCGUGUGUGAAGAAGGCCUUCGGGUUGUAAAGUACUUUCAGCGAGGAGGCGUUACUCGCAGAAGAAGCACCGGCUAACUCCGUGCCAGCAGCCGCGGUAAUAC
rnacentral:rRNA from 1 species